AUAAUAAUAAUAAUAAGAGCUUAACAAAUAUCUCUAAAGCUGCAUAUACAUUAUACUUUGUAAUAAACCUUUUUUUGUAUACAAUUUGUUUUUCUGCAAUGAAUGAAGAUUGCGUUUUAUGAUUUAGAUUUUAGACAUUAGAUUUUUACGACAGACAUCACAGACAUCAAACAUUAUUGUGUUUCCAAAUUCCCUGUUCCCAAAUAAAAUUAAAUGGAUUCCCACAAAUGGAAUUUUUAAUAGUUUAUUAUAAACCAUCAACAAACAGAGAGUCUGGGAUAUAAUUGACCCAAAAUAUAACAAAUAUCAAUGUUUAUUUUCUUUUAAACAAACAUUGUGACAGGUUGCUUGCAAUAUCUUUAUGUCUUUUAAAACCACUGCUGCAAACCAAACUUCCCCCUCAAAGGUCUGAACUGCCACUUAGGUACAACCACAAUCUCUGAAGUUCAACCGUUAAUAAGUUUGUAAUGAAAGAUUUUCGUAACACUGAAAGAAAGUGUGCUCUUUCAGUGACACAUUGGGGAGCAUAAGAAUAUAAUGUAGUCCUGUGCAAAGCCACUGUUAAUUAUGACUUAAUAAAAACCAGAGAUAAUGUACUGCUGCCUUACAUUUUCAACUCAAACUAAACAUUAUGGGCUUUAUAAAUGAUAUGGCAAAACAGAUGUUCGGAUAGCAUUUAACUACACAGGUAACAGGUCUUUAAGGACAUAUUACUUGUUUUAUUCAGAUUAGGUUAAAAAGAUGUCCAAAUAGUGAGUAUAGGGAGUAAAGCAGUAAGGAUUGUAGAAAAGAAAACAUUUUGAAAAGGAGCACAAAGUAUGAGAGGAUUUAAUGUCAUGACUAUGAUUUCUUGCACAGGAUCAUUUUAAAGUAAAGUAGUUUUACAUUGAGAGUCACACAUUUGUAAUCUUUUUUUUUUCCAUGUUGCUGAUUGUUGAGUUUUACACAGAGUUGCAAAGACCACAGUCCUCUGGGCCAGGUACCAUGUGUCCCACAGUUCCAGGUGCUGUUUCUUAGAAGUGCUGAGCUGCUCUUUCCUCUCUGUCUUCUGUACUGGAAUUAAAGUCCUUCUUCAAUGUACUUUUACCCAGGGGAAAAUGAAACCAUGCCUCAGAGUUAUCCAGCACCAUUAAUCAUCUCUUGUGUAGCUCAACAGCAGUGCAGGUAUACGAGGACACCUGCAGUUCAGCCUGUUCUGUUCUGGUUUAUGCAGAGAGAAGGAUCACAGCAAAGAGAAACCACUGCCUGGAGCUGGGAGAAGUGGCUCGUGGUCAGACGUGGAGUGAGAACGAGUAAUUCUUGAUGCAGCGCCACCUCAGCUCCACCCAAGGGAGGCAAAGGAGAAGGCGUCACAGAAGGAUGGCACAAGUUAUCAACCUGGAGUGACUAAUGGUAAGUGUAAUAAUAAAUAAUGUUGUCCUUGCUGUGUUGAGUUAGCAUGUUCUCUUUGUGUCUGUGUGAGUUUUCUCUGAAUAUGAGAGUGUGCUUUGUCCCUGUAUGUUGGUCCUUUCAAAGGUAGUUAUCGAUCUGCAGUUAUUGUUUGUACAAAACAUGUGCAUAUGUGUAUAUGUGUGUAUAUUAAAAUUUGUUUCUGCUAUAUAUAGCUAUAUUUGUUUUAAACACUAGCUGCUUUUGUCCUCACUGGGUCUAUAGACUGAUUACAUGAUUACUCAGAUUUGAUCACCAAGUUGCACACAUUUAGCCAUUACUUGCUCUUGUAACUCGUACUCUUAAUGCUUGUUUGUUGUAAUUGAAAGUUUUUAAUGAAAGUCAGCACCGUAUACAACAGGAGAUCUUGUGUCCACUUUUUGUUCACCAAGCUUUUCUAGAUAAUCUCACAGUUAUAUGUCAUUUUCAGACACGUGAUAAAAUCAUAACCUCACUGGGGUUCAAUGCAGACUCUCAAGUUUUGUGCUUCUAAAAUGACUUUCAUCUUCAGUGUCACUUUGAUAUCAUCUCUGGAAUCUGUUAUCUGCUCUGCUAUGAGUGCAAGUGUUAAGUAAAAUUGCACAUAGUCUUGCUGUAGACAUUAUAUAAUCCACACCGAGAAUGAUUAGAUAAAAGUGUAUAUAUGACCAUUCAGCUUAAGUUCAUCCUCUCUGCUCCCAGUCCCUGUUCCAAAACUACUGUACAUCCCACAGCAACGACAAUGACUCCUGAAAUCAAUACCUCUUGGACGUAAACUCUCUUUUGACACCAUUAUCUGCCAAUUUACACAACCUCUCACUGUCAUGUCCCCAAGUGAUUAAAAGACAUGCAGCAUUUACAGAACUGGGUCCCUUCACUUUUAAUUAAAGGAGGCCAACUGAGCUUUAAAGACUGCAUUAACAGUUUAUGUAAAGGCUCCCCCAACUCAUAAAAAAUGUCUGAGCCUAUACAAAAGCCAUUAGGAGAUUGUGAGAUGAUUCUGCAUGUGUGGAAACAAACAGGCGGUCAGGCUGCACAGAGACAGAAGGGAAAAUAGUGGGAGCCUUGAUGUUCUCAGGUCUGCCUGAGGACUACCUUGGCAAAGCCCAGUCUCACACAAAUCAUCCUACUUUCCUACCCCCAUCACUCCCCCCGCUUUCCCCAAUGCUCCUCAUUCACCUCCCCCACUUUCACGGCCGAGGGAUUCCCGCUAACCUUUGGCUUCUCCUGAGGUCACUUGUGGACAUGGUGCUUUCGUUCCCAACAUAAUAAUGGGAAGAUGAUUGAGUACUGAUCGGUUCUCUUUGUUCACGCUGAACCAAACAAGGCGCAGCGAUGGAGGUUUUGUUCUAUUUUAGUCGUUCUCUUCUCUUCCCCAUCUAUUAUUAAUGAAGCGUGUCACCGGGGGAAGAUUACAAAUGCAACUGCUGUGCACAAAAAGUACAAAUACGCAAGAAUUACAAGACAGAAGUGAAGGUGUAGUAAUUAGAAAUUAGAAAUGAAAGCCUUUUAUUUAAAAAUGUCGAGACUUAAAAUCUGGACAUGCUUAAAUUAUUAUUAAAUUUUAUUCUGGCAGUCUGAACAAGGCCUAAAACUAUGUACGCGACCAACAGCCAGGGGUAGAUCUGC